UGGGGAAUUUUGGACAAUGGGCGAAAGCCUGAUCCAGCAAUGCCGCGUGUGUGAAGAAGGCCUUCGGGUUGUAAAGCACUUUUGUCCGGAAAGAAAUCCUUGGCUCUAAUACAGUCGGGGGAUGACGGUACCGGAAGAAUAAGCACCGGCUAACUACGUGCCAGCAGCCGCGGUAAUACGUAGGGUGCAAGCGUUAAUCGGAAUUACUGGGCGUAAAGCGUGCGCAGGCGGUUUGCUAAGACCGAUGUGAAAUCCCCGGGCUCAACCUGGGAACUGCAUUGGUGACUGGCAGGCUAGAGUAUGGCAGAGGGGGGUAGAAUUCCACGUGUAGCAGUGAAAUGCGUAGAGAUGUGGAGGAAUACCGAUGGCGAAGGCAGCCCCCUGGGGCCAAUACUGACGCUCAUGCACGAAAGCGUGGGGAGCAAACAGGAUUAGAUACCCUGGUAGUCCACGCCCUAAACGAUGUCAACUAGUUGUUGGGGAUUCAUUUCCUUAGUAACGUAGCUAACGCGUGAAGUUGACCGCCUGGGGAGUACGGUCGCAAGAUUAAAACUCAAAGGAAUUGACGGGGUCAUAGCUGUUUCCU
rnacentral:rRNA from 1 species